UUCAUAAUUUGAUUUCUUUUGUUAGAGAGACACAAACACUGGAAAAGAGCCAAAUUUUCAGAAACUUUGGGAGUUGACUCACAUGAAGAACGGACAUUGGGUUAAUGAUGUAUCUUCUGAACUGAAUGAUAAGGUGAAGGAAAUUGUUGCUGAUCAAAUUCAAGAAAAUGAAGAGGAAAUCGAUACAGAUCCUAUUGCUAAUGCAGCAUUUGUGAGAAUUAUGGGAGAAAAGUCGGGAUAUUAUCGUGGUCAAAACUUAGGAAUUAAGCCAAGCAAGAGAUCUAUGAAUGAAAUUCAAGAGCAACUACAAGCACAAUAAAAAGAGACAGAAGAAGAACGUCGUAAACGUGAGAGUGUUGAAGACAAGCUAAUUGAAGUUCAAAAAAACUUGAAGAGGAGCAAGAAAAUCGAGAAGUUAUGUAAACUCGUCUAGUGCGCGAUCAAAAAAUGGUAAAAGAGGGCAUAAAGGCACUGGUAUCCCAUAUGCAAAUUUCUAAGAGUGGUCUUCCAUCUGCAAUUCUCAACAUUAUUACCGAUUCAAGUGAUUCAGAUGUUGCAAAUCCUACAAGUCUUAUGAAUGACAUCGGGGAUGAACGUGCUUAAACCAACACUACUUACAAUAUGAUUCAUGUCAUGCACAAGCUAUCAGAGGAAUAUUUACUUGUUAAGUUACUAGUAGAUUAGUACUACUUAAUGAUAUUUCUUAUAUUAUGUUUUUAUUCAUUUCGUAAAUUAAGACAUCCUAUGUAGGAAUUUUUAGUUUUUAAAAUUCCAAAUAUCUAG